rnacentral:lncRNA from 1 species
UGGGAUUUUUGCACCAACAAUACCUAUCAUGAUUCGUCUCAGUAUCCUAUCAAAGUGGAGGUUGGCCACCUAUCAAUACAGGAAAAAUCUUCAUCAUGAAGCUCUUCAUUCACAAGAACCUAAAAAAAAAUAGGUUCACCGGAUAUGUUUCCGAUGAAGGAUAUGCUUAAGUUAAUCAAAACUUCAGCAACUAGUACAGUGAAAGAAAAAAAGUAACAAAAUUUUAGCUCUCUUUUUUUAAAAAAAAAUUACUUACCUUCAGUAACCAGUACAGUGA